UCGUGUUCAGGGUUCUCCAAGCUAAGGUC
rnacentral:piRNA from 1 species